rnacentral:rRNA from 1 species
CCUACGGGAGGCAGCAGUGGGGAAUAUUGGACAAUGGGGGCAACCCUGAUCCAGCCAUGCCGCGUGAGUGAUGACGGCCUUAGGGUUGUAAAGCUCUUUUCUCCGGGACGAUAAUGACGGUACCGGAGGAAUAAGCCCCGGCUAACUUCGUGCCAGCAGCCGCGGUAAUACGAAGGGGGCUAGCGUUGCUCGGAAUCACUGGGCGUAAAGGGCGCGUAGGCGGCUGACUUAGUCGAGGGUGAAAGCCCGUGGCUCAACCACGGAAUGGCCUUCGAUACUGGUUGGCUUGAGACCGGAAGAGGACAGCGGAACUGCGAGUGUAGAGGUGAAAUUCGUAGAUAUUCGCAAGAACACCAGUGGCGAAGGCGGCUGUCUGGUCCGGUUCUGACGCUGAGGCGCGAAAGCGUGGGGAGCAAACAGGAUUAGAUACCCUGGUAGUCCACGCUGUAAACGAUGAAUGCUAGCCGUUGGUCUGCAUGCAGGUCAGUGGCGCCGCUAACGCAUUAAGCAUUCCGCCUGGGGAGUACGGUCGCAAGAUUAAAACUCAAAUGAAUUGACGG